AUUGAACGCUGGCGGCAGGCUUAACACAUGCAAGUCGAGCGGGGGAAGGUAGCUUGCUACCGGACCUAGCGGCGGACGGGUGAGUAAUGCUUAGGAAUCUGCCUAUUAGUGGGGGACAACAUCUCGAAAGGGAUGCUAAUACCGCAUACGUCCUACGGGAGAAAGCAGGGGAUCUUCGGACCUUGCGCUAAUAGAUGAGCCUAAGUCGGAUUAGCUAGUUGGUGGGGUAAAGGCCUACCAAGGCGACGAUCUGUAGCGGGUCUGAGAGGAUGAUCCGCCACACUGGGACUGGGGCACGGCCCAGACUCCUACGGGAGGCAGCAGGGGGGAAUAUUGGACAAUGGGGGGAACCCUGAUCCAGCAAUGCCGCGUGUGUGAAGAAGGCCUUAUGGUUGUAAAGCACUUUAAGCGAGGAGGAGGCUACUCUAGUUAAUACCUAGGGAUAGUGGACGUUACUCGCAGAAUAAGCACCGGCUAACUCUGUGCCAGCAGCCGCCGUAA
rnacentral:rRNA from 1 species